rnacentral:rRNA from 1 species
UACGUAGGCAGCAAGCGUUGUUCGGAAUUACUGGGCGUAAAGAGUGUGUAGGCGGUGCUCUAAGUUCGGUGUGAAAUCUCCUGGCUCAACUGGGAGGGUGCGCCGGAAACUGGGGUGCUGGAGCGCGGGAGAGGAAAGCGGAAUUCCUGGUGUAGCGGUGAAAUGCGUAGAUAUCAGGAGGAACACCGGCGGUGUAGACGGCUUUCUGGACCGUAGCUGACGCUGAGACACGAAAGCGUGGGGAGCGAACAGG